rnacentral:rRNA from 1 species
AUAUAGGUAAUGUGCCCUAGAGAGGGGGAUAACAGUUGGAAACGACUGCUAACACCCCAUAUGCCUUUAAAUCAUAAGAUUGCAAGGGAAAUAUUUAUAGCUCUAGGAUCAGCCUGUACAGUAUCAGUUAGUUGGUGAGGUAAUGGCUCACCAAGACAACGACGCUUAACUGGUUUGAGAGGAUGAUCAGUCACACUGGAACUGAGACACGGUCCAG